rnacentral:rRNA from 1 species
UACGGAGGGUGCGAGCGUUGUCCGGAAUCACUGGGCGUAAAGGGCGCGUAGGCGGCCUGAUAAGUAGGGGGUGAAAUCCUGCGGCUUAACCGCAGGGCUGCCUUCUAAACUGUCAGGCUGGAGCACAGUAGAGGCAGGUUGAAUUCCCGGUGUAGCGGUGGAAUGCGUAGAGAUCGGGAAGAACAUCAGUGGCGAAGGCGGCCUGCUGGGCUGUUGCUGACGCUGAGGCGCGACAGCGUGGGGAGCAAACAGG